rnacentral:rRNA from 1 species
GACGAACGCUGGCGGCAGGCCUAACACAUGCAAGUCGAACGGGUGUAGCAAUACAUCAGUGGCGCACGGGAGAGUAAUGCGUGGGAACCUACCUUUUGGUUCGGAAUAACGUCGGGAAACUGACGCUAAUACCGGAUAAGCCCUACGCGGGAAAGAUUUAUCGCCGAAAGAUGAGCCCGCGUUAGAUUAGCUUGUUGGUGAGGUAACGGCUCACCAAGGCUACGAUCUAUAGCAGGUCUAAGAGGAUGAUCAGCCUCACUGGGACUGAGACACGGCCCAGACUACUACGGGAGGCAGCAGUGGGGAAUAUUGGACAAUGGGGGCAACCCUGAUCCAGCCAUGCCGGGUGGAUGAUGAAGGCCUUCGGGUUGUAAAGUUCUUUUGGCGGGGACGAUGAUGACGGUACCCGCAGAAUAAGCUCCGGCUAACUUCGUGCCAGCCGCCGCCGUAA